GACUCUGAAACAGCUCAGUGGUUAAACCAUCCAUCUAGAACGUGGGAGGUCGUGGGUUCAAAUUCCACUUGAGUUC